rnacentral:lncRNA from 1 species
UUUUGCCAUUUCUUGGGCUGCUUCAGAGGCAUAUGGAGGUUUUCAGGCUAGAGGUCAAAUCAGAGCUGUAGCCGCCAGCCUACACCAGAGCCACAGCAACACAGGAUCCGAGCUGCAUCUGCAACCUACACCACAGCUCAUGGCAACGCCAGAUCCUUAACCCACUGAGCAAGGCCACGGAUUGAACCCGCAACCUCAUGGUUCCUAGUCGGAUUCGUUAACCACUGAGCCACGAUGGGAACUCCUGUUUAUUUUUAAGUCAAGAAAACAGAAAAGCAGCCUCAAAGCCUUUUUGUUGUCAUGACAAGUAGAGCGGGGUAGAAGUCAUAAGCUUCACAUACAUGUACCUUUGAAACUAUCAUGAAAGUUCUAAGAUUCUUUUGCAAACUCAAAAUAUUCCAUUUUCUAAUGGGAAUCAGAACGUUGCUAUGUACUACACAUUACCUAAAUGACAGUGUACAAAAAGACACGCUCUUACCUUAGUUAUGUACAGAAGGGAUACUUCACUGUGGUUGUUUUAAUUUACAGGAAAAAAAUUCUCUAGAGCUUUGGAGGCAUUUGCCCAAGGAGUAAAUAGCAUUGUUUAAGACACAAAUUGACCCCAGCUGUAAAAGUAGAAGUAUAAAUGCAAGAGGCCACACAGCAUGGUGAUCAAACUGGAAGUUAUUUAGUAGACAGUGGGAAUCUCAAAUAACCAUCUAUGUGGGAAGGGUGGAGUAAAUCAUGAUACACUUUGUGCAGCUAUUAGAAUGAAUGAAAAAGCUCUGUAUUUACUGAUUUGGGAAGAUAUAUGUGAUAUACACUUAACUGAAAAAGCUGUAAAGUAAUGUACAUAGGAUAAUAGUGCAAUUUUACUUUAAAAAAUAAAGAAGAAAACUCUAUGUUUUUCCAUAUGUCUGCAUGUGCUCGUAUGAGCAUGGAAACAGAGGGGGCAGAUGACCAGUCUGAAAAUAUUGAUUGUUUGGGGUAAAGGAAAUAAAUGGAGCUGAGAUGGGGAAAUGAUUAUUUUAUAUACAGUAUCUUUUUAGCAUGAACAAGUAUUGCUUUGGUAAGUUUUUAGGGGUGGAAAAAUAAAGAAAAAUUGCAAAGUGGCCAGGGCUGAAAACAUACUUAAAACCACUUUCCUGUUAUAUUAAUCAGCAAUUAUUCGUGGCAUACUUAUUUUUUUUUCAAGAAUGAGAACACAGUAUUAGACGUCCUACCUACCAAAUGGCCAAUAAUCUAACUGGAGAGAGACGAUCUAUUCACAUGAAAAGAUGAGUGUUUUCAUGCUGAGAAGAAAGUGGGCUAAUUGACAUUUUCCAUUUGAAAGGGGUGGAAUGAAAGCGGUAUCAUGAGUAGAGUUUGCAUGUGAUGAUCAUCUCCAGCUCUGCCCCUCACCUGCCACAUGAACAUGGGCAAGUUCUUAACAUUGGUAACACCAUCUCUCAGUCUCUUCACCUCUGGCUUUGAGAAAAUAAACAUCUGGAUGCAGAGCCAUGAACAUUUCAUGGAAAACUGGUGUGAUGAGCCUGUUUCCCUCUCCCAGGGAGACCUUGUGAAUUUGGGACCACUUUUCGAGGACUUACUUUUUGCAGUUGAGCCUGUAGCUCCACAGUUACUAGAGACUUCUGAGAACCAAAUCAGCCUCAUCAACAACCAGUUCAGAAUUCUUGGCUCAAGCCAGGUCCUGAUAUUCAAUCAUCAAAAUACAAAACCAGGAGGCAACUUUUGCUCGCAAUGUGAAGUUGAAAACCCUCUGUCUCUAGUCUCUAGUGAGUGCUUUUGGGCAGCACAGAACAAAAGUCAUCAUGCAGAAAUCCCAGUUCUAAGCUUCUCUUAGACUAGGCACAAAGCCAGAUGCCAUUCUACAGAGGUGGCAGCCGCGUGCCAUCUGACUGUCCCUAUCGUCUGUGUGGUGGUUGAGAAAAGGAAGGGAGGAAGAGCCAGGAUAGUCAAAGGAAGGUAUAAGAAUUCCAAAAUGGCCAGAGAAGAAAGGAUAAAAGGAUGCAAGAACAGGCACUCACAAUGAUCAGCAUUACUGACAGCAUCAGCGAAAAUAACCAGCAGGCUCUCAUCCAGGGAGUUCCACAUCCAGCUGUGGUGUGCGUGUCCCAGGUCUAAAGUGCACACACAGUUUGUACCUGGUGAGUUCCAGUCCCCACCCAUCCUGCAGCAGGUUACAGACUUUAUUUCAUGGGCCUCCCUUUCUGGAAGAAAUGUUCAGGGGAAAAGAAACCAACAUGCAGUCCUUCCCUGUUACCUGACCUAUUGAACACUGUUGCACUUUUGCAAAAGUGAAGACUGAAUUUGGAUGCUUAGGCCAUUGUAUGCACCUACGUCAUGCUGCUUUCUCUUCAUCCUCAGCUUUGGAUUGUCACAGCGUUAGAUGCUGUACAAGCAAAAGAACAAAGACACGGCCCUUUAGGAAUUGACAAAACUCCCGUCUCAACCUGAGAGAGCUAU